UCAACCGGCGCUACCUCCUUGAGAUCCAGCACUGCUGCCUCCUUGUGUUCGUCCUCCGCGAGGGCGAGCCUGCACGGGGCCGGCUUCCAUGCUCCGCAGGCCCCAGGAAGGUCAGCGAUGCCGCUCCCAGUUUCUCCGUUUCGAUCUCUUGUUCCCGUGAUGGCGAGGAGAACCAGUUGGGCAGCGCUACUGUCAGUUCCCCAAGGUCGAGCCUAUUGUUCAUGUUUUCCUCUUGUAUAGAUUGGCGCUGGAAUUUUCCCGUACAGUAGCUUUGUUUCCUGGAAGUCCAUGUGUUUAUAUAACCUGAAUUACAAUGUUUCAAGUAUCUUAAGUAUACAUUUCUUCAGUCUCA